rnacentral:misc_RNA from 1 species
UAGACUCUUAUAACUAGUUUUCUAAUUAUAAGGUUUGGAUGUUGCCAUUAGUGGCUCGUCUUAAAUGACUAAGUGGAAUGCGUAAUAAGUUUUCGCUCCCUCCACUCUAAUACUAUUUUAG